rnacentral:rRNA from 1 species
UGGUGGAGUGAUUUGUCUGCUUAAUUGCGAUAACGAACGAGACCUUGACCUGCUAAAUAGCCCAACUCACUUCGGUGGGUUGCCGGCUUCUUAGAGGGACUUUUGGCUCAAGCCAAUGGAAGUACGAGGCAAAAACA